rnacentral:rRNA from 1 species
UACGUAGGGCGCAAGCGUUAUCCGGAAUUAUUGGGCGUAAAGAGCUCGUAGGCGGUUUGUUGCGUCGGCUGUGAAAUCCCGAGGCUCAACCUCGGGUCUGCAGUCGAUACGAGCAAACUAGAGUGUUGCAGGGGAGACUGGAAUUCCUGGUGUAGCGGUGAAAUGCGUAGAUAUCAGGAGGAAUACCGAUGGCGAAGGCAGGUCUCUGGGCUGACACUGACGCUCAUGCACGAAAGCGUGGGGAGCAAACAGG